UUCAUCCAAAUGAGACAACACCACACCAAACGGGGAAUGGCUGAAGGUGAGACGGAUUCAUCCAAAUGAGACACCACCACACCAAACGGGUAAUGGCUGAAGGUAAGACGGAUUCAUCCAAAUGAGACAAAACCACACCAAAUGGGGAAGGAAUUCAAGGUCCUUGGUCCUUUUAUCUGCUGAAAGUGCUUUUUCAGCUGAGCACAUUUCUUCAUCUUAAAGCUAGGCCACAAUAGUUGUGGCAUGAGCAACUGCCCUGAUCCUGAGACACUCACUUCUUCCCUGUCCCCAAACCACAACCAGCCCUCCCGGACAGUGGACCCCCUUCCACACCAGCACAAUGACCCAUCUCGUGGUUGCCCAGGCCCCUACUGGCCUUGGCUCUUUCCAUUCAUUGCAGGUUUAUUUGAGGGUCGUCUUUACCUUUAUAUUCUACAGUGACGGAGCAAGGCCAUCUCCCAUUAUUUCUCAGUAUGGGUGUCAUAUUUCUGCUUCAGGCAAGCAAGAGGCCUGGAAGUUUGUUGAAUUCUUUAUGUCAACUGGCUUACCUCUACCCAAGAACUCUGCAAAACUACUUAGCCAGGCUGCCAACCCCAAGGAGGCAUGCUGGUAGCACCAUUCUUCCUCCAGAGUCUCCCUCACACAGAUGGGCCAGAAUACUCCCAUGGUAUAAGCAUGCGCAAGUUUAGCACCUGGACACUACACAUUGAUUUCUGCAAUCUGGUGAUUCUAAGGCCACGAAGACGGCUUCUGAAUUGCCACCCUCACUGAGUCUUUAAUUUCAUGGAUGACUUGGCAUGUUUUCAAAGCCCAGAAGAACGUCAUUGCCAAGGCACCACUCUCCUGACUCCACCCAGCUGAUCUCAGCUUCGCAUCAUUUCAUUUGAUCUUCAUACAUCCUCAAGUUACCCAGAGACAAACUGUUUUUAGAAGAAGUAAUUUACAUUAAGGGGUUAAAUCCUGGGUAUAUUCUCAGGAACGUGAUUACUGGGUACAGUAGUUCUAUUUUUUGUUUUUGAGGAACUUCCAAAUUAUUUUCCGUAAUAGACAUACUAAUUUACAUUCUCACCAAUUGUGUAAAAGAGUUCUGUUUUUUCAGCUUCCUCUUCAUCACUGUUGUAUUUCAUCUUUUUAAUAAAAGCUACUUUAA